rnacentral:rRNA from 1 species
UACGUAGGGUGCGAGCGUUAAUCGGAAUUACUGGGCGUAAAGCGUGCGCAGGCGGUUCGUUGUGUCGGUGGUGAAAGCCCCGGGCUUAACCUGGGAAUGGCCAUGGAAACUGGCGAACUGGAGUGUGGCAGAGGGGGGUGGAAUUCCGCGUGUAGCAGUGAAAUGCGUAGAGAUGCGGAGGAACACCGAUGGCGAAGGCAGCCCCGUGGGCUAGCACUGACGCUCAGGCACGAAAGCGUGGGGAGCAAACAGG